AUUUGCCUCAUAUCUUGACUAAUUUGAUUAUAUUAGAUCAUUGUCCUUGAAAUUUGGAAUUGAAAGCUAUCAUCUAUUAUGUUAUGUAUGUUAUCUAUCCGUGUGUAAUAAAGCGUACGCAUAAUAAGAGUCUCCUUAAAGGCUAACAAAAUAUAGGCAUAGGAGUAGAAUUUACAUCCUGUAUAAAAUCGUAUAACCCACCAUAUCCUGGAAAUUAAAGAUGGAGUAUAGCCUUGAUGACAUUAUGAUAUUAUUGUCAUAUUUUAAUGUCAAAUGGUGUUACUUAUUUUUUGUCAUUUUGUAAGAUAACCAACAUAUUUA
rnacentral:lncRNA from 1 species